GUGGGGAAUUUUGGACAAUGGGCGCAAGCCUGAUCCAGCAAUGCCGCGUGCAGGAAGAAGGCCUUCGGGUUGUAAACUGCUUUUGUACGGAACGAAACGGUCCGGGUUAAUACCCUGGGCUAAUGACGGUACCGUAAGAAUAAGCACCGGCUAACUACGUGCCAGCAGCCGCGGUAAUACGUAGGGUGCAAGCGUUAAUCGGAAUUACUGGGCGUAAAGCGUGCGCAGGCGGUUUUGUAAGACAGGCGUGAAAGCCCCGGGCUCAACCUGGGAAUUGCGCUUGUGACUGAAAGGCUGGAGUGCGGCAGAGGGGGAUGGAAUUCCGCGUGUAGCAGUGAAAUGCGUAGAUAUGCGGAGGAACACCGAUGGCGAAGGCAAUCCCCUGGGCCUGCACUGACGCUCAUGCACGAAAGCGUGGGGAGCAAACAGGAUUAGAUACCCCUGUAGUCC
rnacentral:rRNA from 1 species